CUGGCUGAGCAAGCCAUAAGGAGCUGCCAGUCAGGAGGCAGCGCUAGUCGUGGCCUCUGCAUCAGCUCCUGCCUCCAGGUUCCUACGCUGACUGCCUUUGAUGCUAAAUUUUGAUUAGGAAGCAGACAUGAAAUAAACUUUUUCCUCUUGAAGUUGUUUUGGUCAAGCCAUUUCAUCACAGCCACAGAAACCCCAACUAAGACAUAUGUGAAACAUGGCCCCUUGUAAGUAUAUUUGUAGAUAUUUAUGUGUCCUUUAUGAGUGUUUCUAAUUGAUGUCCAUAAAGGAUGAAGUCAUUGGUGCAAUCGUGUCUGCUUACAGAGAAGGGUGGAUACAGUAAUGUUGCCGGAGCAUCUGUUAAAGGGAGUGACAGCCACAGACUUCCCAGGCCACUUUGAAAGCAGCCACCUAAAUGGACACACAGCUGUCUGCAGUUGUCUGACAGUGACCACCAUAUUCAAGAAUUAGAUAUCCCCUCCCCGAAUCCAUCCAUGAGGCAACCGAAAAGCAAACUGGAAAAGAAAGAAAACUGUUAGUUUUAAUUUAAGAAAGGAAGAGCCAACGCCCCUUCUAAAUAUCCACUCGCCUUGGUAGAUUUAUGCUUCUCCUCUAAUGAAGAAAAAUAAAGAAAAUCAAAGUAUCCCCUUCAAUACAUUCCUUACUUUUAUAUCCACUCAAUUUUAAACAUUAAAGCUUCAGCCAUAAAAAUGAUGUUGACCUUUUGGAAGGAAUGCAUUCAUUGUGUAAGUACAAAUAAGACCAUUCUGCUUGGCCUGUGAGCUCCCAGUGAAUUCUCUGGUCUCUGCUUCCUGACUUGCUGUAAGAGUGCUGAGAACUUACGUCCCACUUCGUUUGGGUUGUACAAGGGUUCUGAGGAACUAAACAUGGGUCAUGUUAAUGCCACCAGGCAAGAAUACGAGUUUGAGCCAAAUUUAAAGCAAGCUUGAUUUUGAUUAGGGUGUACCUGAGAGCUGACCAGUUGCCGCCUCCUAGGUAUUGUUAAAGAGAGCAAACCUGAGUCUGUUUCUUGGGGCCCUUUUAAGAAGUAAAACCAGGGGUAGUGGCUAAGCAGGUUUACAGAAGACAAUGGAGCAGUAAGU
rnacentral:sRNA from 1 species